GGAUAGCUCAGUUGGAAGAGCAUGAGACUCUUACUUUCAGGGUUGUGGGUUCGAGUCCUGUGUUGGGCA